rnacentral:rRNA from 1 species
UACGGAGGGGGCUAGCGUUGUUCGGAAUUACUGGGCGUAAAGCGCGCGUAGGCGGCCAGAUAAGUCCGGUGUGAAAGUCACAGGCUCAACCUGUGAAUGCCGCUGGAAACUGUCUGGCUAGAGUCCGGAAGGGGCGAGUGGAAUUCCCGGUGUAGCGGUGAAAUGCGCAGAUAUCGGGAAGAACACCCGUGGCUAAGGCGGCUCUCUAGUACGGUACUGACGCUGAGACGCGAAAGCGUGGGGAGCGAACAGG